CCCCUAGAUGUUCUGGGCCGCACGCGCGCUACACUGAACAGUUCAACAAGUCUUAACCUUGGCCGAUAGGUCUGGGUAAUCUUUGAACGCUGUUCGUGAUUGGGAUAGACCUUUGCAAUUAUGGGUCUUCAACGAGGAAUUCCUAGUAAACGCAAGUCAUCAGCUUGCAUUGAUUACGUCCCUGCCCUUUGUACACACCGCCCGUCGCACCUACCGAUUGAAUGGUCCGGUGAAAUCUCCGGACUGGCGUGAGUCGGAGCAAUCUGACAAACGCCGGAAAGUUGAUUAAACCUUACCAUUUAGAGGAAGGUGAAGUCGUAACA
rnacentral:rRNA from 1 species